UCAUUCGGAUUCGCCAUCAUACGUCCAACCGUGCAUUUGGUAUGCAUAUAUAUAUGCAUCACGAGCCACGGUUGGGCUGUAUGAUGGCGAUAUCGAUUGA
rnacentral:pre_miRNA from 1 species